GUUUCAUUUCUCUUCUCUUCUCUUCUCUUUUCUUCUCUUUUUUUUCUCUGCUCACCUUCAAUUCCCUUUCUCUUCUCUGCUCGCCGUCAAUUACUUUUUCCACAACACACAAAUAUGUGACAUUGCUACCGGAAAGAACACAUUGGACCAACAAGGUAUCACACAACCUAGUCACCGACACUAGAUAUCUCACAACCCAACCACAAGCACUCACGACUCAGUCACCGACAAUAACGUCACGCGACCCAACUAUUGCCAAGAACUCACGAGCUGCUCUCUUUCGUUCUCUUUGGGAUAAAGUUCAACAUGCUAGAGACAAUGGGGUGGUUCUUUACAAUGUGACACUCAAGUGUUUAGGAAAUGUAAUAAUUUUGAAGGAGCAAAGAAGUUAUUUGAUGAAAUGCUUCAAAGAGGUUAUUUGAUGAGAUGCUAUCACUUGCUCGGCUAUGGUGUGUGCUUUUGUGCAUACUAAUCAUAUUGAUAUGGCUCGGUGUUUAUAUGAUCGUGCAAAAAUGGAGAAAUGUAUAAUAACUAAGGACCAAGGAACUAGGAAUCCAACAUUAGGCCUAUCCACAAAUUAAUCUGUUAAGAUAAUUCAAUAUUUAUUUCAA